rnacentral:rRNA from 1 species
AGUGAACGCUGGCGGUAGGCCUAACACAUGCAAGUCGAACGGCAGCACAGGAGAGCUUGCUCUCUGGGUGGCGAGUGGCGGACGGGUGAGGAAUACAUCGGAAUCUACUCUGUCGUGGGGGAUAACGUAGGGAAACUUACGCUAAUACCGCAUACGACCUACGGGUGAAAGCAGGGGAUCUUCGGACCUUGCGCGUUUGAAUGAGCCGUUGUCGGAUUAGCUAGUUGGCGGGGUAAAGGCCCACCAAGGCGACGAUCCGUAGCUGGUCUGAGAGGAUGAUCAGCCACACUGGAACUGAGACACGGUCCAGACUCCUACGGGAGGCAGCAGUGGGGAAUAUUGGACAAUGGGCGCAAGCCUGAUCCAGCCAUACCGCGUGGGUGAAGAAGGCCUUCGGGUUGUAAAGCCCUUUUGUUGGGAAAGAAAUCCAGCUCCCUAAUACCCGGUUGGGAUGACGGUACCCAAAGAAUAAGCACCGGCUAACUUCGUGCCAGCCGCCGCCGUAA